rnacentral:rRNA from 1 species
AGAGUUUGAUCCUGGCUCAGAACGAACGCUGGCGGCGUGGAUAAGACAUGCAAGUCGAGCGAGAUUUUUUCCUGUGGCAAUACAGGGAAAAGUCUAGCGGCGAACGGGUGCUUAACACGUGGGCAAUCUGUCUUAAAGUGGGGGAUAGCUCGGCGAAAGCCGAAUUAAUACCGCAUGUGGUUAGAGUGGACAUCCAUUCAAAAUCAAAGGUGGCGCAAGCUACCGCUUUUUGAGGAGCCCGCGGCCUAUCAGCUAGUUGGUGAGGUAACGGCUCACCAAGGCUUUGACGGGUAGCUGGUCUGAGAGGACGACCAGCCACACUGGGACUGAGACACGGCCCAGACACCUACGGGUGGCAGCAGUCGAGAAUUUUUCUCAAUGGGGGAAACCCUGAAGGAGCGACGCCGCGUGGAGGAUGAAGGUCUUCGGAUUGUAAACUCCUGUCAUUGGGGAACAAGGUGCAUACGUUAACUGCGUGUGUAUUGAUAGUACCCGAAGAGGAAGAGACGGCUAACUCUGUGCCAGCAGCCGCGGUAAUACAGAGGUCUCAAGCGUUGUUCGGAUUCAUUGGGCGUAAAGGGUGCGUAGGCGGCGCGGUAAGUCGGGUGUGAAAUCUUGGAGCUUAACUCCGAAACUGCAUUCGAUACUGCCGUGCUUGAGGACUGGAGAGGAGACUGGAAUUUACGGUGUAGCGGUGAAAUGCGUAGAUAUCGUAAGGAAGACCAGUGGCGAAGGCGGGUCUCUGGACAGUUCCUGACGCUGAGGCACGAAGGCCAGGGGAGCAAACGGGAUUAGAUACCCUAGUAGUCC